UUUUUUUCCAGGUGAGUGUUCCAAUUAAUUUCGAGUACGAAACGAUGUUGCAGCGUAACAAAUUAGUAAGUAUCGGGGAAGGGGUGGGAAAAAAGGAGGAAAAGAAAGUAUCGAUAGAUUUCACGAAGAGUCAAUUAAGGAUUGGAGAGGAUAAGGAAAAUUACUGGAAUAGAAGUAAUUCCUCCCCCACCCCUUGGAUCACUCGGCAUGUUUCUAUCCCUUUACUCUGAUUCCCUCGAUUAUUAUUUCAAUAAUUCAUUUUCGUGUACGGCCACGUAUCCCACGCUAUGCAACCGAGGGUUCGUAGUUUCCGAGUGAUUCGUUGGAGGAAAGUUAAAGUAAAUUACACGCGUUUCUUCGUUGAAUCGUUUCCAACAAAAAGAAAAACAAAACACCUAUCCAAUCGCGGAACAUCGGUUUGAACAAUAAAAGGGAAGAUAGAACAAUAAAAAAGAAGAUUUGAUGGAAUAUCGUACGUAUAUUUUCAUCGUACGGAUUAUCGCAAGAAUUACGGAGCGCAACUUUCCAUCCCCCGGAAAGGAAACUUUCCAUCCCGAUAUUAUUUUCAUAGCGGCGCAUUUCGCGAUAUUUGCCGGGUCGUAAAAGAGGAACUAUUCGUCCGGGUCGCGUUUUAAAAGUCGAAGGGGAUACGAGGGGGAAAUGAAUGAGCCCCGGCCGACAUAAAUUCUUGGGAAAUAGUACGGCGCUCGAGAGUUUUGCAAAAAAGUGCUGAUCCCGCGUCUUUCCCUUCUAUCUUUGUCCCCAUUCUGGACAAGCAGUUAGCAGCUCCACCUGAUCGUGGGAACUUGGGUGGAUAGUAAUACGAAACGAAUGUAAAUCAACGUCAAUCGCACCUUACCGUUUAACGCCUUCCGGCCCUGGCCUCUGGCAAUCUCGAACAGAACUUUUUCAAAUAGCCUGAUUUAUCUCCGUACACCUUUUUCUAAAACCGUUCUAAAACCGUUUCUAUCGCAGAUUCUUCCCUUCUUCCUCCAAAGACCCGUAAUAUUCGCUAUCUAUAUCUCGAAUGUAUAUAUAUAUACCGGGAAUAUCUUUGAUAAAAUUCCUGAAAUAUUAAAGCCUCGUUAGACAUAUGAUGUACACCUCGUUCACAGAUACGUUAACAAACACUUUUGACAGGAUAUUUCGAAUAAUCCUGUAACGAUCGAAUCGGGAUGAUAAUCGAUUGAACAAGUCGAUAAGUUUCUCCAUGGAUGUUUUGAUCCGUUUAACGAAAUUAAACCCGUCACGCGUGUUGUUUAUCGGUCGGAUAAACAUCGUUCCCACCAUCUGCCGCCAUUGAUACGUAUUACCAUCGUGGAAAUUAUCUCUUGUCACCGAUCGUUAUUUACGACAGGAAAGAGAAAUGAAUUUGCGAUUGCUCCCCGCUCGGAAAAAGGUGACCUUUCGCGGCGAAUUCCGUUUCGGGGCGAAUUCGUUAAAUCUUGGCGUGGCGCGAUCGGAAGGAAGGGAAGGAAGGGAAGGUCGGAUAAAAAUCCGAGGUAACCGGACGUGACCGCAAAAGCUUGCGUUAAUAGGAAUAAAAUAGCAUGGGUGAAUUAUCCUCUUUGAGCGGAGCAAGUCCUCCGGGCACAAUUAAUCGGACAUGGUUGUCUCGCCGCUUAAAACCCCCGGCCUUCGGUCGGCCACGCCACCCGAUCCUCCACCACUCUCCUCAGACUCUUCUUUUCAGUAUUGUUCAACAUAACACAGGAGAACACAGGGCCGGGGGAAGGGAGGAGGGACGCGAGAGGGUCGAAGCGCCGCAAAAAUGAGUAGAGUUAUGAAGUCAACGGCUUUAUUAUUUAUCUGCUUUCUGACUGCUUCUCUCUCUCCCUUUCUCUCUCUCUCUCUUUGAAUUUUUCCCCCUUUUCUGUGCCUAUCCUCUCUUUCACCGCUCUUUGGAGGAAGAACGUCUCCCCUCUUGCGCCCGCGCCACUUUUCCUCUGAAAAACCAGUUACGAGAAACAAUACUUGGGACGAGGAGCGAGCCUACUAAUUAAAGAGAGCGUGGACGCCGACGUUGGAUGAUGGAGGAGAUAUAUCCGAGAGCGCGAGCCUCGUUGACGGCGAAUUAAACCAGCUCUGCGGUCCGCCACCAGCUUCCUCUUUCACUCAGCUCGUCUUCCACGAUUUUACUUCGAUGCUCGUAAGGAGCGCGAAAUUCUCGAGCAGAGAAAUGGCAAAGAUGGAGCACAUAAUUCGGGGAGCAAUCGUGUUCCAAUUUCAAACGGGAUGAAUAUGUCGCGUUCGAGUAAGAAAGAUGAGUGUAACUGAGAGAUGAUAAUACAUUUGCGUCUUUUUUUCCUUUCUUUCGUUCUUUAGCAGCUUAAUACGCGAAGAUUCGUUAAAGACUCGACUUCGGCUCGACUCGGUGAAAAUCGGACGCGAUCGGUUCGCGAAGGAGGUAUUCGCUAGCCGAUCGUGCCCGAUUAUUGCCGACUCGAGCCGAAACGGGAAUCGAGACGCGGAAUCCCGAACGGCGCUCGACUUUGCCCGAGUCGUUCCGAAACUCGUUUCGAAGUUCCGGGCCUUUUUGUUUACUUAUCAGUAGUGGGGCGCGUUAUCAACACGACGGUCGAUGAUUAACUACGCUCCAAACGUGGGAAAUUACGUCUCACGAAUGAUAUAAGAGAUUCAAAUUGGACGGGAAAGAUUUCUGAAUAAAUCUGUUGAAAUUUCGCGGGGAAGAGCGAAAGAUGGCGAGGAAUGGCGAAAUCGAUAUUUUUUUUUCUCGAUAAGAUGUCGGCAAAUGUCACGAUCAUUUGUCAAAUACGAAUAAACCGUGGAAAAUGAAAUUGGGAUGGGAACAAAUAUUUGAUAGGACGAGACAACGCCCGGGGCUUUUCAAGGAUUAAAUAAAUAUGAGCGCAACAAACUCUGUUAGAGGAGAAGGGCACGCAAUAAAAAACAAUACGUGUCCUCCGUAAAGAAAUUAUUUCAUCCAUCCCUUCCCUUCCUUCGUGAAAUUUCUCCCGCGAAACAAUUAUAAACGCGGGAUAUAUGUAAUUACAACACGAACCGGAAUUAUUCAACACAAUAUCUUCGAAACGUGAGAAUAUCGGAUGAAUAUCGGGAAGGAAAAUCCCGCAGCACACCAACUGAAAAAGCAGAACAAUUUAACCGAGUCGUAAAUCCAUCCUCCUCCUCAUCAACCCCUUCUUUAACACGCCAUGAAACGUUAUUACGUUAAAAGGGGGUGAUCCAGAGGAGGGGGAGGGGGAUGUUACCGGGGCUGUGUUAAUUCCUCGUUCGAGUGUCCCGCUCGUGGAAAAUGAUCAGCGGAGUGGUCGCCGUGGAAGACGAUGGGGCGCAAGGGGCGCGGAGGUUAAUGGGCGUACAUAACGAGGGCCUACAUUAUGCAAAUAGCCGUGCCGUCGACUUAUAUCUUAUCACUUUGACUGGCCGCUCAUUCAUAUGAAUAUCGCACCCCCGGGAGUGUGCGCGUGUUCAGCUUAUGCUGGGGUGGUUUUUACUGCCUUUUUACAAGGGAGGAGAACUUCUCCAGCCUGUUUUUUUCCCCCUUCUUCUUCUUCUUCCUCCACCUCCUCCCGCUCCCUCCUUUUUCGUCAGUCUCGCCGCGUCGAUGUUGCCUUCUCCACGCGUGAGGAUAAACUCUUACAAUUAUAUCACGCGUUGACGAGAUCAUUAUUCAUGGCAAACCUUUCUCUUCUCUCCAUUCCCUUUUUCCAUUCCUCCCUCUUGUUUCUUAUUCCAGAAAACGACGACGCGAAAGAAAUCUUCCUUCCCCCGCGGAAGAUUAACACUUGGUUCGAAUCGCGAGGGGUGGGAUCUCGAAGGGAUCUCUGCGCGCCCGUUCCACCACAAACGGGUGCUGUCGUGCAAUCACGAUUUGUCACGACACGUCUACACGCCCGUUGGUAUUGCGGCUGCUUAUCGGGGGCAAGGAUUUUUAGGUAUACGUGGAAAUACGUUGGAGAGAGGGUGAACCGUGCCGCGUAGGUAGGUGGAAUUAUCGUCGAAACACCGAUAUUAAGUCCCGUAAAGUCUCUCGUGGCGGGGCCGCUUCGAAGAAAUGCUUAGACUCCCCUCCCCUCCUCUUGUUUUCCCACUCACGAAUAGUAAUUUCAAGUUUCCGAUCAUUUUUGAGGGGGAGGAAAAGAAAGAAGAAAAAUACGCGUUAUCACCAUGCACUUUCUCUCCCUCCCCUUUGGAUCCGCAUGCAAUUUCCUCGUGUCGCCCUUUUUUUAUAAAGUCUGUACGUCGAUGCUCGUUCGUUACGACUCUGAAUUAAUCGUUCGCGUCAUCCUCAACGAUCAUUUCACGAAAAAAAGGAGGAUUUUUUCCUUUUUUUUCCUUCGCUGUAUUCCCAAACACUCUUCGAAACGAAUCUCUUCUCGGGGGAAUAGGAAAACUAUGGGUAUCGGGAGAAAAUUUCCGCGUGUAAAAGAGGGGAAGUUACAUCCAUCCUAUGUUUUAAUUGAAAUUCGAUUGAAACUCAGGAUUUUGCAUGUUAAAUGGUAUUUGAAGAUAAUAGGUGGAAGUUGGCCGGGAACAACGUUUUUCCCUCUCUUCACCGGCCCGUGUCCGACCAGAUCUAAAGUUUGACGAGUAGUUUCUCGGUAACGUGGUGUGGAUAUACGUAUACGUAUAGAUCCAGACGCGGGUUACGUACGCGGAUAUACUAGGUUUUCAAGGGAGAAAACCACCUGUUAAAACUCGUUACCCAGCACUUAAUAUAGUAUCGCGUUAUUUCGUAAGUGAUGUAGUGUAGUUGGAGUUAGUUUCGGGUGUAAGGGGAUUAAUUAAUUUGGGAUUAAUUUGAUCGUUAUUUGUUUUAUUUUAUUUUUUUUCUAUAAAAAGAAAUAGUGGUCCAUUCGCUCGAAUUAAAUUUUCAUUUCCUUCCCUUUCUAACCAGUUUUCGGAAAAUCGAAUCGAAGCGAAUCUUUUCGAUUUCGUAUUCAUUUUUUUCUUUUUUCCUUUUCCUUUUUGUUGAAACGCGAUUAAAAAACGCGGGGACCGUUUUGCAAUAAAAUGGACAACUCUUUAUCGACAAUUCUUUAUGUUCAUACAGAAUUCAUUUUCCAAUUCGUAUCGAUAUUUUUCCAAUCUUUUGCGAAGUGUCGACGUCCCUGUCAUCGGUAGAUUUCAAUUUUUUCAUCAGUAGUUUCCUGCCUCGAAUCGAAAUUAAAAUUCUAGAUCCUCCCCAAGGAUUCUGUUAUCGAAUUUUAACGAUCGACCAGAAUUCAUACGGAUCUCGCACGCGAAUGGACGUUGGAAUGUUAAAAGCUAUAAAAGAAAAAGGAAACGAAAAGAAAAGAAAGAAAAAAGAAACGGAUAAUUCCAAUUUCAAAUUUUAUUUCGACAUUCAAGAUGGAUACGAAAUGUCUACUUUCUCCAGAAGUAAGAUUAAUAUUUCCCUCUCCCUCUUCAACUCUAACUUUUCCAACGGAACAUCGCAUAAUCGAUAAUUAAUUAAUUAUUCGCAAAUUCCAAUGGAUAUUUAUUUUUAUAUCGAAAAAAAUUGUCUUCACGCGGCACGAAACUCCGACGUUCACUCACUCGCGAUAUCGAGGAUAUCGAAGUCGAAAUUGGUAAUACAUAUUGAAUUUCCGGCUUGAUGUACAUGCGCGGAUGCGCAUACGUGAUACUAGAUUAAAAUUUUUAUUAAAACGUGCAACACGUAAUGAUUUGACGAUUCGAUGAAUUUUCAUUGUUCGUGGCGCUCCAUUAAUUUGAUAUUACAUCGUUCAAUUACGCCAUCUGGCGUUCGAACGGAAUUGUUUAAUCUGUCGGCAAGUUAAUUAAUCUGGACGAUUUAAUAAUCUGUGUUAAUAAUAUUAUUUGUAGUAAUUAAAGCACGUUGUAUACGUUAUAUAUAGGAUUAUCAAAAUUAAUCCGACCGAAAUGUAACCUGCUUCCUUUUAUAUUUGUUACACCUAAUCAAUUAAACGAGAGAUUAUUAAUUAGAACGUUAGAAAUUUCAAUACGCGUACAUAUUAAUACACGAUAUAAACGAUAAUGGAUAUUCCCGUUAAUGUAUCAGUUAAUGACCUCCGAAAGGAUGGAAGUUAUUCGUGAAAUGUCAUCGAAAUCAUAACAAGAGUCGUAAUCGUAAAAAGAAACGAUUCCGUCUCGAGGACAGAGAUAUCGAAUUUGUUCGUGUUUUUCUUUUAUAACUAAAUGUAUUAACUUUUCUGUAGCGAAAAUUUGCUUCGUUGUUAUCGUCGCCCAAUCUUGGAACGGAAGGAGGAAGGCAUCGAGGAAAGGCUUGUUGUUCAACUUUCUUUGAUUAACACUAUAACUAGAGAACGGGAUCAGGAACUAAUUUAUCUUUUAUUUACACGACGGAGAGUGGGGGAGGGGGAGAAGACGAAAAAGAAGAUGUCGCCUCUUCAAUUCCCUCUUCCUUUGAUUAUAUUUCGCGUGUCGCCAAAGAAAGUUCUCCGGUUAAUGCUGUCUCAAUAUUUAUACCUCCCUCAAGCUAAUUGUUCAAAAGAGAUUCUUUUAUUUCAGCGUCUAGCCGCUCACCGUCACUUCUCGAGCACCCUCUCCGUCCUCCCUUGUCGCCGAAUUGUAACUCGAGUUUGAAAGAAGAGUUAACCGGCUAAUUCGAAACAAAACCGUGCGGUCAAGCUUGUUAUUAUUUAUAACAGGGACGUUGCAAUCAGUCGAUUGAUUAAAUCACGGAUCGUCCAUAAUUAUAAUUCUAUUUCACUUGUCGAAACACGACAAUGUCUUAUGCCACUUUGCCUGGAAAUUAUUGAUCUAUGCCACUUGUCCAGGCCGUUGUUACGCCGUGUACCACUUGUCUGAAUAUGACUGCUGCAUGAUAUACUCGUUUGCCCAUUUAAUGUUCCUGUUCCGUUUAUCUGAUCACAAAUCGGUUUUUAAAUAUGGCAAUUAUUUAAGCCCUUAAUGAUAGUCUGAACAAACGUCUUAUUCCAUUUCUAGAGGAUGAUUAAAGGAAAGAGAGAGAGAAAAAAUAUCAGAGGAAUAAAGAUAGAAAAUAAGAAUAAGAAUAAGAAAAUAAAGUGAUGAAAGAAGAGAGUUGAAUUUGAAUGUGACUGCUGAUAUACUUGUUCGUCCAUUUACUGUCCCUAUUUUUAAAUCUGGCAAUUAUUUAAGCCCUUAAUGAUAGUCUGAACAAACGUCUUAUUCCAUUUGUGGAUGAUUAAAGGAAAGAGAGAGAGAGAAAAAUAUCAGAGCUGGAAUAAAGAUAGAAAAUAAGAAUAAGAAUAAAAAAAUGAUGAAGUGGAUGAGGAAAGGAGAGAGUUGAACUUGAAUGUGACUGGUAUAUGAUAUACUCGUUUGUCCAUUUACUGUCCCAGUUCUGAUUACAACUGUCUUUAAAUCUGGCAAUUAUUUAAACUCUUAAUGAUAGUCUGAACAAGUUUCAGCAAGCAUCUCAUUCCAUUUGUCCAUUUCCAUUCAGGAUGAUUAAACGAGGAAAGAAAAAGAAAGAAAGAGAGAGAGAGAGAGAAAUAUGAAAGCUGAGGAUAAGGAUUGAAAAUAAGAGUAGGAAUAAGAAAAUGGUUGGAUAAAGAAAGGAGAGGGUUGAACAGGCCGAUAUGUGCCACUUACACACUCACACGUACCUGCGUCGUAAUGUAUCGCAAUAUGAUAUUAUGCGGCACUCACAAUAUGACAGGGUAUUAUCCUCACGCAGCACAGAUUUCCAUAUUGCGGCUAACGUGGCAUUAUGUGAAAUCAACUGCAUAACUACGAGUUUACCAUUAAACAUCGUUAGCCGUGGCUCUAAAUGUACCUUGUGUCUCAAUAUCACAAAGAGUUUUCACGAUGUUUUUUAAUUCGCAUCUUGCAAACAUCUUGGAGUGGAAUAAAUAGAAAUUUCUGGACAAGUAUAUUUUUUCCCUCCCGAAAAUUAUAUUGAAAUCGAAACGAUUGAACGAAGAAUCUUUUGUCUAUUUCUCUAUUGAAUCUUGUUGAGAAUUUUUUUUUAGAAUUUUUAUCAGACGUAUAAAUAUAAAUAUAUAUAUAUGUACACGUGAACGUAUAAUUAGCGGCUAUAAGGGAAGAGCUGUUUUAGUUAGUUUUUUUAAAAAAAGGAAGAAAAAAACGCGAAAAGAAUUUCAAGUUUUAAGCUCAUUAUAUCGGCUUUCUAAUUAUAACUGCUACAUCGUUAACCAACGUUCAAUUUACCUUAUUAUCCUUUUACAAUAAAUAUGUACAACGAUAUCUCGCCCUCUAUAAUAUUUUGUAUAUAAUUAAACGUUACAUGAACGUAAGAAAACAUGGGAUCCCUCUUUACUCUUUAUGGUUUCGUCGCAAUAAUAAAGAGAAGAAAAACUAUUGCUACGUGCACGCGAUGAAAACUUCUCCUUUGUGUAGAUAAAUGUCUCGGUGUCUCGGAGUGGUGGCGCCAUUUUAUAGCGCGCGAGAAAGAGAGAGAGGGAGAGCCAGAGAACUUAAAAGAAGUAAUAUUUCUAAAUUCCAGCCUAAACUUGCCUAACUUGUCUCGUGACAACGUUUGUACAUACAAACGGAAAGCUACAAAAGCGUUAUCGAGGAUUUAAAUACUUUGCAAGCUUAAAUCAACCUCGAUGUUUACACGUUAUUUACACGUUUUGCAUCAGAGCUUGAAAGAAUAUAUAUACUUUCACCAAAAAAAUCGAUCAGAUUAUCAGACUUGUAAAUAUAAAAACAUAACCAAAUUAUAAAUCACUCUUACCCCUCAUAAAUGUUCAAAGAAAUUUAAUUAACGAUUUUUGCAAACUACUUCAAACUUUACAACCAUAUAUAUAUAAAACGAUCAUACUUCAAGAAAGAGAAUAUUUGCGAUUAACGUAGCAGUGAGUGAAAGGUGUCUAUAAAUAAAAAGGAAAAAGAAAUGUUAAUGCUCGAAUAAUGGCACGAGUUAUCGCGGCAAUCAUCCAACCGGCCGGCCGUUGUUUUAAUAUAUGGGCCGUAAAAGCGUACCUUGUAUCGAAACUCGGAAGUAUAGUUGCUUUUAAAACGGAUGCCCGCGCCCCGCGUAAAACUUUCUUGUUGAAUGAUAGGUGGGAGUGUCCGGAAGUCGGUGGCAUAGCUCGAGCCCGGCCAACGUGAAUUACGAAUUCCUUUGUUCGUCCUUUGAAGAAGGUACGCCCUUGCCGGCAUCGAAAGAACGUUGAAACGAAAUAGAAAAAAAAAGAAAAAAGGAAGAAGAAAGAAGAAACCCGCAUCGCCCGAUACCAUGCUCAAGUUUUUCUCUACUUUUUGCUAUUUUUCAAUUAUACAUCCAUCGUGGAAAUCGGCACGAUCGUGUAUAUCGUUUUAACCAUCGUUUCGAUUAAAUUACGGUGCAGAGAUUUUUCUAAAUAAUAUUCCAAGUAUUCGAUGAUUCUUAUUAAAUGGUAGAGAGAGACGAAGAAAUGGAAGGAAAAUUAAAAAGUAGGGGACACGUAAAACCAAUCGAUCAAUUAUAAUUUGAAUAGAGCAAACUAAUCCAAAAUAUCGUGAAUAAUACGGUUGGUUGAUUUAUUUGGUAUUGGAGGUUAAAGAAGAGAAUUUCUCUUCUAUCUUCUAAUUAAUUCCUGGGCCAAGGAAUAAUCGAUGAACCAAUGUCAAAUCCCGGUUGACGUCGCCUCGAACGAGCUUUUAAUUCUACCACAGAUAUAAUUAAACAUUCGAGUCGAACAUCGGUUCGAGUAUAUCUAUAUAUAUAUAUAUAUAUCUAAUCGAAACGAAAAAUGGUUACUCGUUACUUAAUUAAUAAUCUUAAUCGGCGACAAUUCGGUUUUAUUGGCCCCCGAUCGAUCGACGAAUCGAAAACCGAUCACCGCGUGGCUUCCCCUCACCUGAUUUCUUUCUAUCCAGGAAUUUCAUUUACCAAAUUAAGGUUUAACGUUCGAAUGAGUAACCGGACUUAUUAUUCGAAUCGUUCGUUCGUCAUUUCCUCUGUACAUUCACUCUGUACGUUGUACGAUAUUAAAGGAUGAGGAUGACGACGACGGUGGGUCGUUAAUUUUUCUUACAUCUACACUUUUCAAGGAGUAGUAGGUAAUUUAUCGAUAAUUUUUCUUAAUUAAUGAAAGGGAUAAUUUUUUAUUAUUUUGUCUUUUUUUAUCGUUUAUUCUUAGUAAACUAUCCCAAACUCUAGAUGGAUUCUGGAGGAUGAAAAAACAAAAAAUAAGUCAUAAUUUCUGUGUUGAACAUUGCAGUCGAUUAAGACGAAUCGAAAAGCAUUUUGGUUUCGAGUAAGUUUCACCAUUUUUGUGCAACAAGUCAAUUGAUCGCAUCAACGUAAUUUUACGUAAAAAUCACAGAUGUGUAUGUGAAAUUUCGUAUCCAGACGAUCCGGUUAAUCCUUGCUCGAGAAAGAAUAAAAUACGAGAACGAAACAUUGAAUAUUUCACGCGGAUGAGAAAUCGUUGUGUGCUCUUUAUCCACUCCACUUCUCUUCCCUCCCAAUAAAUCCCUUGCUUCUUCGUUAAUAAUAUUGACAAAUGCGAUAGAACAAAGUUGCCAAUUAAUUUGAGGGAGGAGAAAAAUCGAUCCUUCUCCUCGAUUUCAAAACGAUUUUUUACAAAGAUCGUGCAGCUUGUAUUUGGAGUUAUAUCUUAAUGAAGAUAUAAUUUCCAAAGAUAACUGUGCGGUGAUCGAUUAUCCUAGGUGUUACACCUGUAAUUGAAUCCUUUGAGAACGAUCUUAGUUCCCUGAUUAAUUCUCAGACGGCUAAGACGUCGGUCUAGCCUCGAUCCAAUAGUUAACGGCGAAGUUAACGUCUGUAUUUAACAGUGUGUAUAAUUAAUCGGGGCUUCAUAUCUGUUGUUCCGAUUCUCCUUUUAUCUUAGCAUUACGGAAAGUUUCUCUAUUCUGUGUACAGAUUUAGCACUAA